CCGAGCUCAGCUGCUCGUCUUGUGUUUCUUCCUCCUCAAAAAAGUGUAUUUUUCGUAAAAAAAACGUGGCCUCGGACCCCUGUUUCUCAGAAGGGUUGUGGAGGACAGAAGAUAUUUUUGCCUUGCGGUGUUUUUUUUACCGGAGAGUUAAAAUGCGUUUCAGGCAAGCCAAGAAUCUCUGAGUUAUGGGAUUGCACGCGGAGCUGGACGGGUGAAAUAAGAAGCUACAAACAUGGAACGAUCCACCUUAUUGCAGAGCUUCUCUGUCCUGUGUGGUGUCCCACAAGCCACAGUCAGAGAUUUGAGUGGCUGAGCCACUCCCAAGCUGCCCAGUGCCUUGACUCAGAAGACCUGUGAUCAAAGGUGAAGAGCAGUACUACAAAGAUGGGAACAGUGCAAUCAGCUGCUGUACUUCAGGAUGCAGAAGACAUCUAAACUACCCUUCCUCCUCACACAGAGAAGAAACCUGAGACACUGGAAACCUGGUAUCCAUGGCUCUUUCACAGACCUAUUGAUGUUGGAAAAACUUACGCAUUUAAGAAGGACGUUGUGUUGCCCUCCUUCCAGGUGAUACCCAAGAAGUCAUAGUGGGCUUUUUGCUCCCAUGAGUCACUUUGCUACAGUUUCUAACUGCCCUUCCUGCUUCCCCUCCUCAAAAACCAAAACCACAAAACAACAACAACAACAAAAAAGCAACCACAGUGUUACAGGCCUUGCACUUUAUUCUGUAAGCUUUCCUGACAAGGUUGCUCUGCAUGCAGCCCAGUAGUCACACAGUGAGUGUUGGUAACUGUGUUGGGUUUGUGUGGUUUUGGUAGCAGGGAAGAAGACCCAGGGGUGACUCCUGUGAGAAGCUGCUGAAAGCUCCUCUAGCUCAAAAUGUCCAGAAGGACAACAGUGGAGGAGAUACGGAUCUGCAGCCAUGGAGGACCUCAUGCCAGGGGACGUGGCUGUUUUUGAAGCAGGCCAUGACUCUGUGGGAAGCCUGCGCUGGAGGAGUCUGUUCCUGAGGGAGUGCACCUCAAGGGAGGGACUUAUGUCUGAGGGGUUUGUGAAGGACUGUCUCAUGUGGGAGAGACUCCACCUUGGAGCAAGGGAAGCCUGUGAGAAGUCCUGCUCCCUGAGGAGGAAGGAGUGACAGAAGACAACUUGUGAUGCACUGACUCUAAACCCCAUUCUCUGUCCCCCUGUGCCGCUGGGGGGUAGGAGGUAGUAAAGCUGGCACAAAAUAAUUUGGGCCUGAGAAGAAGAGAGGGUGGAGUAAGGCUCAUGAGUGCCCUGGCUGCCCCAUCUAUCAGUAGGAGCGCUGCAGAGGAAAGUGUGGGGCCACCACCAACAUCCACCACGCUACAGGAUUUUGCCAACUAUCACUUGGGCAUACAGGCACUUGAGGCAGAUGGUCAAUGCAGCUCAACAUUGAUUCACAGGUCCCAUGGGUCUUUCUCUCAGGUCUUCCUCUCUUCAGGAUAUCAGGCAUUUGCAUCACCAUGUCACAUCAGCCACUAGCUCUUUCCUUUGUCCAUCUCCUUAUUGCCUGAAUACACAGAGAAAACUGAAGCAAGAUAGUGAGGGUGCUAGCUAUUCUCUGUUCAGUUGGACAAAGAAAUAGUCUGUCUUCUCUGAUGCUUAAGAGUACCCACCAUGAGAUUCUCCUGUAUGUCUAGUCCCAAUCAGCAAUGUUCAGCACAUUCCUUGGCUGAGCUGAUACAGGUCAGAUUGACAAUCCAAUGCCACAAAUCAGGACUUGGGACAUUUGAUGAGGCAAAGAAGAGGUGGAUGAUACAUCUUCAGUAAUGAUAGGCCUUGCUUGCAUGCUCUAAGAUAGAAAUGGUCCUUCCCUGGGAGAAGGAGUGAGGAUGGGAGAGUGCUGGUAUGUAGCAACUUCCUGGGAACAAGGGGAAUAACAAACAGGAGAUACUGUCAGGAGGGUGAGAUGGAUAAAAAGGACAGAAGGAAAGAUGAAGGAAACACAGAACAGGCCGAUGACCACUACUGUUGACAGCUAUUACACCUUGCAACCAAUAUUCACAGAAACAGAUGAAUAUUGAACUCUGUCAGUCUGGGUCAGCAAUAGGUUAUCUUUAUAGAAGUGAAGGGGACUCUGCCCUGAUACUAUCCCGGCAUCAGGUAUUUGAGAAGCUGAUGGUAGUUGAGCUAGAAAAAAAUUAUCUAUGUAGGACCAACAGUGAAGGCUGAUGUUUCAAGAUCUCCUUGGAAGGGGCCAAGUUUUUACUUCAAUCCUCACGUGUGCUACCAUCACUAACACACUAAAUGGGGGCAGAUGUGUAAUUUAUGGCUAAUGGAAAGGGAAGGAGAUUGUAUAUUAAAUCUAAUUUAUCUUUAGUAAAUGCAUUCCUAAGUGGACAAAAAAAUUCAACACAGUUUGUGGGGAAGCAGCAGGAGCAGGCUGCCCCACAAAGGCAGGUGAGCUGGGAGACAAGGGGGACAGUGGGGCAGACAGGGCCAUGCUGUCACCAGCUGGGCCACAGCCCCACAGUACCCACACAUGGUAAAUGAGGCAGGAAUGGUGGCAGUGAUCAGGGAGACCCACAGAUCACUGGGUCACUGAGCAAGUCUGCAGGGACCAGGCUGGGACGAGGUCAAGCCAGGGAAGUGCAGCCAGUGGGGUCAGAGAUGCACAGGCCCAGCAUGCAAGGCAAAGCAUAAGCCUAAAUGCAACCCAAGACGUUAAAACCAGUGGGUGGAUGACAAGAUCUUGAGAAACCCUCAAAAAAGUCACCUUCAAGGCUGACAAAGAGAAAGGGAGAAAGAAGGUCCAAGUAACAAGGCCUGUUUUCCUUACGGGAACAUAGUCCCAUUGGAUGCAGAAGUGCAAGCACAACUGCAGUGAAAUCUGCCUGUGUACAUUUAAUGUGGUGAAUUUUUGCUCUUCAUUGCUGGCCCAGGCUCAAAUUUUCCAUCAUGUGGAACCAGCGUCCAGAACUCCCCUUCUAAAUGUCUGUGUCCAGGGAAUCAGUUCAUCCUUAAGAUCUGAAUGCAAACAAAAAAAGUUAGGGACAGGCUGGCUGAAUAUCUCUGCGGGAUGUUGCUGCGGGAAGGACAGUCCUUUACAAGAACAAAAGGAUGCUAAAAGCCCUGUCUUUAGAUGUGCAACCUUUUUUCUUUGUCUUAGAUGCAUUCCCAUUUCCUUUGACGUCACUCUUGGUAAACUCGUCCUGAGCAGUGAGUUUAGCUUUUUCAGUACAACUCUAGGUACAACUUAGUUCGUGUGUAGAAAGACACCACAUUAACCUUUGUUGCUUGGAUGUUUUUGUAGAAUUUCACAUGUAAUUGUUGGGCGAAUGUUGGUAAGUAAUUCCCAAAGGAAAACUGAUUUACACUGCUUGAUGCAUUUUUUUAACCACCCCUUCUGAUGCUGAUUUCAAGCUGUUUUUCACUCUCUUUCCAUGGCACUUAGCUUUCUCUCUUAGCCAAUAUGCAAAACGCGUCUACUAGGGAGAAGAUUUUGGCAGGCAAUAAUUGGCAGAGAUGUGACACGUUUCUGCCAAAAACCCAAAGACGAGGACGUUUUAAUUUAGAUUCACUUCAUCUCAAGAAAAAAAAAUAAAAAAAAUAAUCCUGGAACCAUGAGACUUCCUAAGGGCAUAGAUCGAAAGUGUUGCUUGGUAAAAUGUUUGUUUAUGUCGGUGAUGGUUGCCUAGUUUUGGGGACAGAAGGCACUGACUGUAUCCAACCACUGAGAAGAGGAACUUUAUCCCCACCUCCUGCCAAGAUAUUCUCACCGUUGUUGUUAACUAUUCUACUCCGAAGGAACCUUUUGAAGUUAAGGAUAACACAAAAGAUC